AACUCCAGCUGUACAUGUUAGAAUUUCUGGCGCUAUAUAAGGAUGAAACCCAUUUGGGCGAGAGUAGUACUAGGAUGGGUGACCUCCUGGGAAGUCCUCGUGAAAGGGUUU
rnacentral:rRNA from 1 species